ACACGCAACACUGAGUAACAGAAGGAUGUUAAUAUGUGCUAUGAAUUUCUUCGGUUUCCUUCCAGUUUUCAGCAUCUUGCUCCUUUGUGUGUGUUUGCAGCUAACCUUCAACAUAAAUGUAACCAAAGUGAGAUGGCUGGCGGGGCCUUUAACUUGCAUUAUGCCUCGUGACAUUGACAAAAAGGUGAGGAGAGCGGGCCGUGUUUAUGCCGAGGCAAUGGGAUCAAAUCCGGGGAGAAAUCUAUUUCCUUGAGAAGCCAUGCCAGAGAGACGGGAAAACUGGACACAUCCUGACAUGCAAUUAGGUCAGCCUUCCAGUGUGAGCUUCUAGCGUGUCAGUCCAGGCUACUACAAGGUUAGAUAGAAGAGAUACCCUACGCUGGUGUCGGAACCUCUCAGCUGUAUGCGCUCCUGGGAGGACGGACGGAGGCUCACUUUGGAGGGAAACGUGAAGUGUGUUUGAGUGCCAGCUGGUGCCCCAAGACAUGGUUAAACAUCUACUGGCCAAAUGGUGCCUUGUCGUUGCUGUGAAGCGGGAAGACACUUUUCAUGGGACCUGCUGUCCAGGGGGAGGACGAGUGAAAGGGCGUGAGGAUUCACACGUCAGUCCUAUUUAUAACUUUAGCUGGAGGUGUGAUUCUGUGCACAGGUACAUAAUCAAACAUUAACCGUAUUCGAGGUAUUAUCGCGUGCUAUACAUUGGAUUUCAAUGAGGACAUGGAGGGCUGUUAAAAAAUGUCUAGGAUUAGGGUUUAAAAAUCCCUUUCCAGACAUGUUUUAAGACAUUAAAACACUCGUUGAAUAAUAAUUUGUCUGAUAUGGGUUUUCAACAAAUAAAGUUCAAUAAACUACAAAUUCUUGAAAGCACAUCUUUGUAAAAAUACAGAAUCUAUGAAUAUGCAAAUAUCAGCCCAUUUCAACCAAAUACUUCCAGGAACUAUGAAACCAGAGCAUUAACUCAGGACUAAAAUGUCUUUUGCUCACUUUUUUCAAAGAAUCUGAAGAACGGCAAAUUGUUUCAAUGAGGAAUUUAAAACAAUUAAAGGCGUUUAAAACUAUUUUCUCACCUAAGAAACUGAAUCAUAAAGUUUUUUUGGAUUUACUGUUGCACGACUGCAUGAUGUGACGUAAUGAAAAGAAGAAAAAAAAAGGAAAUGGCUGAUCCUACUACUGCCAACGUAUGUGAGGGACAGAGCGGGCAGGCAUGAGGAUUUUCAAAAAGAGGGUUUAUUCACCCAAAAGUGAAGAAAGUAAUUUACUAAUAUGUGCAACACAGUUUUUGGGCCCAUAAAAGAGAACAGAAAUAAAGUCUGGCUAUGA